CCCUUUUGAGUCCGCCAUAACAUCACUAGCAAUAAUAAUUAAUCUCCAUCCCUUGCCUAAUCGCCUCAGCCUCCGCCAUGAUAACAGUACCAAAACAUGGCAGCGGCGGCGGCUCAGUUUCCAAGUCGGCAUGAAGCUCCAAUCCACCGCCACAUUGCUAUCCUUAUCUAAACUUGCUUUGCCGUUUGAAAGGGCGAUGAUGGACGAGCGCUUUGGUAGUAUUCAGGCGUCAUCGCCGUUGCCGAUUCCGGCAUCAAAUUCGUAGCCGAAGAUGAGCGGUCCAACCGUCCAAAGACGGCAUAGUUUUCCACUACGGUUUCGUUGAGAAUUCCGGCGAGGAAGCAGAGGCGAAAUUCGAGAAAGGGAAAGAGGGUGGUGUUGUGUGUGGAUGAGUCUAGCACAAGCUGAUUACGCAUAUACUCGAAGAAAUCGACUCAUUUGAUUGUUUAAGUUUAUCUUUUAAGUUGCUGUGCUUGUUCUUUGAUUAAACUAUUAUUGCUUCGCUCGGCCGGGCGUUUGCUGGAUACAUACAUGUAUGGGGCCAUAUGUGCAAAUAUAAAAGCACGGUUCCACAAAAAGAUAUAGCAAGUAAGCAAAAGGAGUUGGACGUACAAGCUAAUGCAUUAAUAUCAAGAGGAGGAAAAGUUUCUGCUGCCUUGUUACCAUUUGAAGAAGCGUGUAAGCCGUGUGGUGAUUGCCUUCCCGAUUAUAUUGCAAAGGUUAUU
rnacentral:sRNA from 1 species